rnacentral:rRNA from 1 species
GAUGAACGCUGGCGGCGUGCCUAAUACAUGCAAGUCGAGCGAACAGACGAGGAGCUUGCUCCUCUGACGUUAGCGGCGGACGGGUGAGUAACACGUGGAUAACCUACCUAUAAGACUGGGAUAAAUUCGGGAAACCGGUGCUAAUACCGGAUAAUAUAUUGAACCGCAUGGUUCAAUAGUGAAAGACGGUUUUGCUGUCACUUAUAGAUGGAUCCGCGCCGCAUUAGCUAGUUGGUAAGGUAACGGCUUACCAAGGCAACGAUGCGUAGCCGACCUGAGAGGGUGAUCGGCCACACUGGAACUGAGACACGGUCCAGACUCCUACGGGAGGCAGCAGUAGGGAAUCUUCCGCAAUGGGCGAAAGCCUGACGGAGCAACGCCGCGUGAGUGAUGAAGGUCUUCGGAUCGUAAAACUCUGUUAUUAGGGAAGAACAAAUGUGUAAGUAACUAUGCACGUCUUGACGGUACCUAAUCAGAAAGCCACGGCUAACUACGUG